CCAAUCAGCAUGUGGCAUUCCACAAGCCUUGGAGAUUGGCUGAGAAGUGAGCAUGUGACCUGAUCAAAGUUGAGAAUGCUGGGGCAAGGUGGUUUCACUUCUCCUGCAGGUUUCACUUCCUGGGAAGCUGGAAAACUUUUCUGAAACUCCAGAGAGAUGAUAAGUUGCUUUUCCCCAAAUGUGGACUCUGACUGGAGAUGCAGAAUUGUCAAAGGGGACUGGAUUCUUAAGCAUUCAAUUGCUCAUGAAUCUCUCUAAAAACAUUACAUGCUUUUGAUCUCAUGUCAGCCCUGAACGUUGGCACGCCAGGCCCACAACCAUGUGCUGGGAGAUCACACAUGCACCAGGCCCCUUCCGUUUUGAAAACUUGCGGGGAUGUGGGUGCUACGGUCCUGCCUGGAGUUACCCUUUCAUUAAAUAUAUAAAUCCAUCAUUUCUCCCACCUCAUGAUGGGACCUCGGUUGAUCCAGGGGCUUCGUGCUCCCCGUCUGCUCUUGUCCCAUCAUCUUGACCCUUCCUUCACCUGGAAUUCAUGCCACAGCGCGAGGCUGUGUGCACGGUGCUUCUGCGGAGGCCCAUGGCUGGAACUGGAGCCGGCGGACUUCCUGUCCCACUGGCCUGUCCCAGGGGGGACCAGAGGUGUUUUCCAGUGGGUUCUGACUUCCACAAGGAUCAACCAUGGACUGUGCAAAUUAGUGCUAUGUGGCUUCAAACACCCAGGGCUCCAGGACACAAACAAAUUACUGAUUAACUUAAAGCUCCAUUUCUGGAGUCCCCAUCCCUUCUAAGGAGAUCUUCAAGUGCAGUUCUGGCCACAGGGCCAGUGCCUGGGGAGUCAAGUGAUAGCUUCAGCUCCACGUCUUGGUGCUUUGGAUUAAGGGAAGGAGAUACACUGCUUCCAUUCCAAGGUUGAGAUCGGACCAUACACUUUUUUCUCUUGAUUUCCAGAAUGCGUGGGAACGGCUAAGGUUACCAAACAUACCUCUCUUGAUGGCACAGAAAUCUCUCUCUCUCUCUUUUUGUUUUUUUAAUGCCAAAUUCUACCCUUUGAAAAAUGCAGAAGCCCAUUAAAGAUUAAGACUACAAACAAGCUUAAAACACAUCUUAACUGCAUUCACAAAGGUCGCAGGUGUAGGCAGGUCAAAGUGAUAUCUUGUUCUCCUAAAUAUUUCAACAGAUAAACAAACUUUUGAUUGCGUUAUCUGCUCGAAAAAAUGACUUUGAACUUUCCGCCAGCACCGCCUACUUGGGUUUACUCAAACCCGCAGAGGCCCAGCCGACCGAUAAAGAACCUUGAGUGGUCGCCUGAU
rnacentral:lncRNA from 1 species